UGCCAAUGACAUGAGUUAAAUUUCUUUUACAAAAUAGGUUUAACUAUGACUUUUUUUGUCAGACAUUUGCGAUGAAGAUGACAUUCUGAAUUCACAAGCAAAUUUAUACAAAUUGAUGGCGUUAAGAGUCACAUUUUCAUAUUUCAUAGUUUCUGUGUGUCUCUUCUUUGUGAGUUUUUCAAGACCUCCAAACUUAAGCUUAUAUACCUGCAAACAAAAUUUAUCAUCAUUUCUACCUGUAUAAGAAUGAUCUUUUUGUGGAUUGAAUAGGUCAACUAAAUGGUCUAUCCCUUUUCUUUUACUUCCAAUGUUGACAUUCUUUUCCUUUUCGUUGAGCCUGCUACUUUUGUCGCAAAAGCGAGACAUAGCGAACCAACCUUAAUUCUGCCGCCAGCAACGUCCACAA
rnacentral:lncRNA from 1 species